CUCAGUUCUGGUGACUCUUCCCUCUCCCCUUAGUCUGAGCGGUUUUCUAAGGAUUUUAUUGAAAUGCAAACAACAAGCAGAAAUAUUUAGGUUAAAUGUUACUCCUUGUUAGUCUUUUGGAGAUAAUGCAAAAGUAAGUGGAACUAAGGAUGCCCACUUGUUACACUGUGGAGUGCGCACUUCACGGUAUGCUGGGCUUUGUAUGGAAUGAGAGUGCAUGGAGCCUGCUGUUCAAAAAUGCAGUCUAGAACUCUUAGGCCACUUUGUGAUGCGCCGUGAAAGCGUGUGCCUGCUGUUCUAAAUGGGGUGGGCGAGGAGGACAGUGAGGACCCCCGUAAUCAUCGCCAGGGGAAUGGAGUCAGUGUAGAGUUUAGCUUUUAAUAUUCCCUGGAGGACUGUUUUGGGUACCUGGUUGCCUGUGGUGACGUUUGCUCUGUGUUCUGUGUGAAGGCGCGGCCAGUGUGACU
rnacentral:lncRNA from 1 species